rnacentral:tRNA from 1 species
GCACCCGUGGCGCAACGGAUAGCGCAUUUGAUUCCGGUUCAAAAGGUUGCAGGUUCGAUUCCUGUCGGGUGUACCA